UACGUAGGAGACGAGCGUUGUCCGGAGUUACUGGGCGUAAAGGGUGCGCAGACGGCCCGCCGCGUGUGGGGUAAAAUCUCCCGGCUCAACUGGGAGGGGCCUUGCAGACGGGCGGGCUUGAGGGUCGCAGAGGGGCGUGGAAUUCCGGGUGGAGCGGUGAAAUGCGUAGAGAUCCGGAGGAACACCGACGGCGAAGGCAGCGCCCUGGACGACACCUGACGCUCAGGCACGAAAGCUGGGGAGCAACAGG
rnacentral:rRNA from 1 species